rnacentral:lncRNA from 1 species
GAUUGAUUUCAUGAUAGCAGGAGAGUCAGCAGCUCUUACUCGGCAUGCUGAGUGCCAGUGGGCAGCCUUUAAGAUGAGGGGCUUUCUCGAUCCGAUCUGUAAGCCUAGAGCAGAAUAGUAAAGCUGGUUUUCUCUCUGUGCUUUGUAUCUGUUAGGGCCUUCUUGGGGGGGGGGGGGUGUUGUCAGGCGACUUGAAAUCCUCUAUGGUUUUGUCAGCCAAAAUCAGUCUGCUUUCUCUUUGGUCUUUGUGUUAUUCCCACAUUAAGGGCAGCCCCUGUUCUGGGCAGAUCUCCCCAACUGCGGGACUUCAUACUGCAUCUCACGCUGCUGCUGCUGCUGCUGCUGCUGCUGCUGCUGCUGCUACUGAUUUUGUUAAAGAGGCUGGCACUUGAGGCUUUUGUGAAACUCAUGUCCCUUUCUCAUAAGCCAGACACGAUUGGCUUGAGAUCCAGACUGUCCUAUGGGGGCUGCUGCAUCCACCAACAUUUGGGAAUAAGAAUCACAGAAUGAGGUUGCUUUUCUUCACCAGCUCCGGGCAUCCAAGGGUUUCAGAAGACUGCCAUUCUUCCCCCCAGUUCAUCAGAUGAGAGGAGAAUGCAAAGACGAUGCAUCCGUCAGAUCCCAGCCACACUUUCUUCACCAGAACUGCAGAACCAGAGGAUCUGCUGCAGUCAGGACCAACAUUCAAGUCGCUACUCUCUCUGGGGUUGGAGCUCUGCGGCUGAAUCCUCUCCAAGACCCACCUACUUGGUUGUAAGGAAGAAAGCUCAGUCGGUGGGAUCCAGCUGUGUGUUGAGGUGUGUUCCCUGAGAUCCUGGGGACCUGAGUGAUUCGAAGCAUCAACACAGUGUGUCACAGGCAACCAUGUAAGUAUGAGGAAAAUGUCCAAAGAUGCUUCAUGUUCAGGAAGAAUGGUCAUGGGCUUGCUGUGGCUGAUGAGUCAGUCGGAAUCACACAUGCAUUGUUCCUCUAACAAUUAGACUUACUCUGUAAACAUGUCUUCACUACUGUAUCCCAAGAAGGAUUCCAGGCUGCUUAAUUUUUCUAAGUAGUCCAAUUCAUUAAUCAGUCAGUUGCCUAUUUUUAAGGAUCAAAAUGUUAAGGGCUGGCGCCAUGGCUCACUAGGCUAAUCCUCCGCCUGCGGCGCCAGCAGCCCAGGUUCUAGUCCCAGUCGGGGCGCCGGAUUCCCGGUUGCUCCUCUUCCAGUCCAGCUCUCUGCUGUGGCCCGGGAAGGCAGUGGAGGAUGGCCCAGGUACUUGGGCUCUGCACCCGCAUGGGAGACCAGGAAGAAGCACAUGGCUCCUGGCUAUUCGGGGGGUGAACCAACGGAAGGAAGACCUUUCUCUCUGCCUCUCUUUUUCUCACUAACCCUGCUGUUCAAAAAAAAAAAGAUCAAAAUGUUAAGACUUUUUUAUGGUUUUAUCUUUUUUCACUUUUAAAAAUUUUAUUUAUCUAUUUUGAAAGAGUUACAGGGAGGCAAGUGAA